ensembl:snRNA U6 U6 spliceosomal RNA
UUGCUCACUUCGGCAGCACAUAUAUGAGAAUUGGAACCAUAUAGAGACGACUAGCCUGGCCCCUGCACAGUGAUAACAUGCAUAUUCAUGAAUCAUUCCAUAGUUUA